rnacentral:rRNA from 1 species
UACGUAGGGGGCAAGCGUUACUCGGAAUUACUGGGCGUAAAGCGUGCGUAGGCGGUUUGUUAAGUCCGUUGUGAAAGCCCUGGGCUCAACCUGGGAAUUGCAGUGGAUACUGGCGAGCUAGAGUGCGGUAGAGGAUGGUGGAAUUCCCGGUGUAGCGGUGAAAUGCGUAGAUAUCGGAAGGAACAUCAGUGGCGAAAGCGGCUUCCUGGACCAGCACCGACGUUCAGGCACGAAAGCGUGGGGAGCAAACAGG